AUUGAACGCUGGCGGCAUGCUUUACACAUGCAAGUCGAACGGUAACAGGUUAAGCUGACGAGUGGCGAACGGGUGAGUAAUGCAUCGGAACGUGCCCGAUCGUGGGGGAUAACGCAGCGAAAGCUGCGCUAAUACCGCAUACGAUCUGAGGAUGAAAGCGGGGGACCGUAAGGCCUCGCGCGAUCGGAGCGGCCGAUGUCAGAUUAGGUAGUUGGUGGGGUAAAGGCUCACCAAGCCGACGAUCUGUAGCUGGUCUGAGAGGACGACCAGCCACACUGGGACGGAGACACGGCCCAGACUCGUACGGGAGGCAGCAGUGGGGAAUUUUGGACAAUGGGCGCAAGCCUGAUCCAGCCAUGCCGCGUGUCUGAAGAAGGCCUUCGGGUUGUAAAGGACUUUUGUCCGGGAGCAAAUACCCAGUGCUAAUAACGCUGGGGGCUGAGAGUACCGGAAGAAUAAGCACCGGCUAACUACGUGCCAGCCGCCGCCGUAACAC
rnacentral:rRNA from 1 species